GGAGAGAUGGCUCAGUGGUUAAGAGCACUGGCUGCUCUUCCAGAGGUCCUGAGUUCAAUUCCCAGCAACCCCA
rnacentral:tRNA from 1 species